rnacentral:tRNA from 1 species
GGGUCGUUAGCUCAGUUGGUAGAGCAGCUGACUCUUAAUCAGCCUGUCAUCGGUUCGAUCCCGAUACGACCCACCA